rnacentral:lncRNA from 1 species
GGGGUUUGGGGGGUUUGGGGAGGGUUGGGGGCGGGGUCGGCUAAGGCUGGAGGCGCUGGCAGCGGCUGCGUGGAGGCCUCAUGUGGAAAGAGAUGAGUGUGUGGGAGGGAGGAAAUUGAUUUGCUGGGAUACACAAUCUCCCCCUCGCUCCAGGAGGAGGCGUUUGUUGCAUAAAUAUGUGUCCAUCACUCAAAGAGUGUCAGAGCUCCUCAUGACUUUAGCCCCCCUCCUCAUGUGUUGUGUAACCUUUCCUCAGGAAAGAGAGUUUGAUGCAUUUGGUUAACAAAGUACCAUUUUCCUCCUCUGUUGAGAUGCACGAGAAAACAACCCCAGAGUGUCAAGACUGUGAAUAUUCUCCUAACUUAUUUGAUAUGGCAUGACCCCUUUUAAACUGCUUGAUGAAAUUGUCUAUUGAGGUAUGUAAAUGAAUAACAGUGAGGCCAUGAAAGCAGAGCGUUUCCACUAAAUGUCAGCUGAGAGCAGAAGCAGCCUUCGGUUGUGUGUUCGCCCACGCUCUCUGUGUUUCUGAUUUCCAUAAAAGUCCUGAGUGAUGGAGGAUUAUUCUUGCAAUAAGACUCAAACUGGUCAGGGCCUCGUUUCCCUGAAGCGCCAGGACGAAACAUGUUUAACUCUUUCAGGGAAGCCAGCCCAGACCAAAACCCAGCUCUGUUCUCAAACAGGAGGGGGGCACACUUUCAGCUCGGGGCCCGAGUUAGUUUCAGACUGUAGACUUUGUAGAAGAAGAGGACUCAGCCAGAGAGAUGCCGAGAACUGUUUUCUAGGUUUAGAGUCUUUGGCCAUCACAGUUUGAGCCGUUAAAGCCAGAGGGGAUUGUGUCUUGAUGAGGGGCUCAGUAUCUUGGUUAUAAACUCAAGCUCCUUCAGAGUCCGGUCUAUAAUCUACAGAGAUUAAGACAGGAAUCAAGAUGCUCAUUUAAUGAUAAACAGCUUUAAACAAAAGCUCUCCUCAGUUCCCAGGAUGUUUAAAAAAAAAAAAAAAAAAAAAAAGGAAUUACACCAAAUGACACAUUUUUUCAUGUGUCUGUGAUUAUAACUUACAGUGCAAGGUAUCUCCUGUCCAAAUCCAACCGGUCUUUGAGUCUCUUUGACUCAGGUCAGACUGCUCCAUCACUUUAUAAGCUUCACCAGGACCAAGGAUCAGGGUCAUGAAAAAGAAUUGAAAAAAGAUGCAGUAAACUGUCAAAAAUUUUGAGAAAUGAACAUUAAAAAACAAUAAAAUUUACCUGUAAAUUUUUUUUUAAUAAAGUUGUGGUACAACAACAAAAAAAGGAGGCCAUAGUGAAGUUGCAAUAUCAUAGAACAAAGUCCUGGUAUUUUGGUUCCUGGGGUCAAAAGUCCCACCAUUUUUUGAUGGAAGUGUAGCUUUAGUAAGAAAAUAAAUUAGUAUCAUGAGUUUAAAAAACAGUUGUAAUUUUUUUUGCAGAAGUAGUAAUUUCAGGCCGGGGUUAAUCUUUGUUGGCAUGAAUGCAGACAGGCUCCUGUUAACUCACCUGUCUUUAUUACAGACUUUAUUUCCUGUUUGAAACCCUGAUUAUUUUAGAUGGCCCCCUAACCAGAGUGUAAAAUCAGGACUUUUAUCCCCGUAAACAAAGAACUUUACUGUGACAAUAUUACAGCAGUGCUCUGCCUUUUCACUCUGUCUAAUACUAUGACUUUAAUCUGGGAAUACUUGACUUGAUUUUUUAAAACGUGUACUUUAAAAAACCUUGAUUUUUACGUUCUUAAUAUGGUCCUGAUUCUCCGUCAUAUUUUCCUGUCUUGUUUGUUUAUGUGAAUUUCACUCCGUUCUGAUUGGUCGACAAAAGAAAAACCAAACAUGCCAGACUCUCUGUCAGGAGGUCACAAAGUGUUUUUGAUGGUCAUUCACUGUGACCCACAACACCCGAUAAAUCCUUCGAUUAUCAGAGCGAACGGGUCCUGAAACACUAAAUCGUCACUCUUUUUUCGUCUUGAUUUAAAAACCAGUCGCCCCCUGCUGGCCUGUGAUUAAAUGCAGUAUUGACCCCCUUCAUUGGCUCUUCUUUUGGUGCACAGAGCUUAAGUCCUCUUCUUGUAGACUGUCUACAGUGCAGACAGAAAUCUGAGGUAAACGUUCAGCUGAGCGGCACUUUUCAUGGAACCAAAUGACCCCCCCAGGCCCCGCCCCUUCCCUCACCCAUGGCCCGCCCACUCUGCCCCCCUCCCUCCUUCCCUCCCCCUGCUGUAGUUAAAGCUGUGUGGUCUUAUCAUGUGUGCCUUUCUCACUCCACGCAUUUCAAGAUAGCGUAUGUUUACACAAACCUGCAGACCUGCUUCAGACACUGUCCAGACUCCUGACCCGGAUCUCUACUAAUACUGUCACUGAGGGGGGAGGGGGGGUUAUAGAAGGGUGUACGGGGGCGUGAUGGGGGUGCUAUGUACAGGGGGGUACGCUAAAUGUGUCUUUUACAUGCAGAUAUAGAGAGGUUAUUCUGUGGGGAAGGAACUGAACACAGAAACUGUGAUCUCAUUCAGGUACUAACUGCUCGGACAGUUUCAGUGAAGAUCUGAGGAGCUCCACCGUCUCAUCCUAGAUUAUUAUAAUAAUAAUAAUAAUAAUAAUGAUAAUAAUAAUAAUAAUGCAUCAGUGUGCAGGGCAUUAUUUUCAAACCAGUGGAAGUCUCUGUACAUAUUUGUAUUAAGAAGAAACAGUGUUAUUGAUGUUGUAUUGAAGUUGAAAAUGGAAAAAAAAACUAAAAAAAAAAAAGUUUGUGACAAAGAAAAAACUCUCCACAGCCAAGGGUUGUCCUGCUAGCACAUUUUUACAGAGAUGAGCUAUUUUUACUGCUGAUUUUCUAGGCGUUGAUAUUGAUAUCCUUUUAAAAAACUUCCAAAAUAACAAGCACUUCUUCCACAACCAUAGAUUGUAAGGUCCUUUUUGUUACUUUUGUAGACGUGGUGGUUCCUUUGCUACUGCAGCGUUUUGUAAAGUGGGACAGGCCUUGGCUGUGCAUCCUCGGGGUCUCAUGUUUGGCUGUUUUUUUAGUUCUGGUUUUUUCGGGGAGGUAAACACUGUAGAUGGGCCGACUUUGUGACUGUGUGUUUGUGUACUUGUGUACAUGUUCCCCUGUUCCUGUGUCAGUGUUAAACAGCAGAGAAGUGAUGUCAGUUAUCGUGGGGGUUUGAACCAUUUUAAAUGUUCUCUAUGAAAAACACCAAUAAAGAUUCAUAGACAAGAA